UACGAAGGUCCCAAGCGUUGUUCGGAAUCACUGGGCGUAAAGGGAGCGUAGGCGGCGUGGUAAGUCAGAUGUGAAAUCCCGGGGCUCAACCCCGGAACUGCAUCCGAUACUGCCAUGCUAGAGGAUUGGAGAGGUAGCUGGAAUUCUUGGUGUAGCAGUGAAAUGCGUAGAGAUCAUGAGGAAGACCAGUGGCGAAGGCGGGUCUCUGGACAGUUCCUGACACUGAGACACGAAGGCCAGGGGAGCAAACGGG
rnacentral:rRNA from 1 species